ACGGGAGGCAGCAGUGAGGAAUAUUGGUCAAUGGGCGGAAGCCUGAACCAGCCAAGUCGCGUGAAGGAUGAAGGUAUUAUGUAUUGUAAACUUCUUUAGACGUAGAGAAAUAAGGCGCUCGUGAGCGCUGAUGCUAGUAUACGUAGAAUAAGGAUCGGCUAACUCCGUGCCAGCAGCCGCGGUAAUACGGAGGAUCCGAGCGUUAUCCGGAUUUAUUGGGUUUAAAGGGUGCGCAGGCGGUCGAUUAAGUCAGUGGUCAAAUCACGGUGCUCAACGCCGUUCCGCCAUUGAUACUGGUUGACUUGAUUCCGGUCGAGGCAGGCGGAAUUCGUAGUGUAGCGGUGAAAUGCAUAGAUAUUACGAAGAACUCCGAUUGCGUAGGCAGCUUACCAGGCCGGCAAUGACGCUCAUGCACGAAAGUGCGGGGAUCGAACAGGAUUAGAUACCCUGGUA
rnacentral:rRNA from 1 species